UUGAGACUCAUCAUUCCUUUCUCUUUCAGCUGGAAGGAGGAGGCCUCUUCUCUGCUGUUGGGGUCGGGGGGCGGGUCUUUUGCCGCCCACAGACAGUCUGGAGUACAGGCCUGCCCUUGCUCUUUCUCCUUAUUCUGUUGGGUCACUCUCUGUCCCCGAGGCUGCCCCUGGCCCCCGGUGCGUGUGGCUACCCGCAUGCGUCCCCCAACUGCCACCAGUCUAAGGCUUGUGCUCCCCGAGGGUGGGUGGUGUGGCCGCAACGUCAUCCCACUCAGUGGAAGGCAGGACGGUGGGAGAGUUGUGCAAGGACAUGGGGUUUCCGGCGGGGCCGCUGCUCACCCAGAACUGCGUGGUCCUCCCCCGAGAGGUCCACUCUGCAUUUCCUUCAUUCAGUGAGUGCAAACGUACCGCUCUCACACAGCGGGUGUGCGGAUGGCCGAGACAACCGUGUAGAGAAUGCAAAUCAGGAAAUGUAAGUUUCUCUCCCUUUUCCCUUUCCUCCUUCUCUGUCUCCCUCCCCUUAGGCUGGGACGACGAGGAGGCACAGUGUGACCUGUGGUUGGAGGGUGAAGAUUGAUGUCAGCGUCUGAAUGGAGCAAAUUCUCCUAAUGCUGGAAGGUUGUUGUGAAGAUCAGAGGGGAUGACGCACGGAAAGGGCCCGACGCAGAGACACCUGGUACACGGUCACCUCCUGCACAGAUGAAUGUUGAUAUUUAUGUCAAUUCUGGUAUAUGGAGUUUUGGUGUUUGAUUUGUUAGCCACAUUCUGUAAGUUAAGAGCGAUCAUCCCCAUUUUAUAGCUGGAGAAACUGAGUCUGGAGAGGUUAAGCAACAUGCCCGCAGUCCCUCACUGGGGAUGUGGUAAAGCCCCAGGGGGGACCCUGCAAGCUUUCAGCCCCUUUCAGAGCUCCAGCCGUCCCUGUGGAAGGGCUGAGGGUGACAGUCACCGUCCUGUCCUCUGCAGCUCAUGGCCUCACCCCGCGGGGCUCCAGCUCAUUCCCACUGCCCCCACCGCCCACCUGCCUGCCUGCUUUUCAGCCCUGAUGACUGCGUCAUCACUAUGACAGCCUUUUCUGAGUGACACUCAUGUCCCAGCCUGAGCUGGGAGCAAACGCUCCUAACGGCCUCCCAGGACUAGGCUUGGGCCGGCCUUCAGGGUCAGCACCUAGUCUGUUAGUCCUUGGGGCCUAGGGCUCACUGGCUAUCCCUCCUCUCCGCCUCUCUCCCUGCACCUCCUUCCUUGGUUUCCACCCCCUCCUCCCCAGGGCCCUGUGCAGGUAAGUGCCUGUCGCGUAGAGAUAUCCGGUACAUGGUAGAUUCCCCCACCCCCUUUCCCCCAGGGCCCUUUCUCCCUUCUAAGAGCCUCUGAGUGGGCCACAGGGAUCCUGGGAAGCCAAAGGACUCAGUCUAGCAGACGCUGUCCUUGCCCCACUCCUGCCACCAAAGUGCCCCCUGGGGCCACCCGCCAUUGACUGCCUGUGGCUGCCUUGCACAGCACCUGCGUCUCUCUACAGGGGCUUUCUCAGGCUUCAGGGGUGUGCUCAGCUCUCAGGGGGUCAGGCCAUGAGGACGCUGUUCCAGCUCCGUCGCCUCCUGGCGGGGCCAGUCGGAGGUCCGAUGCCUGAUCUCCAGGGUGCCCCUUGGAAUAAGGGUCCCCUUGCCCAGGCUGCUAACUGGCCCAAGGCCCAUCCUGGAUGGACGUUCCUCCCUCCCUUUUCUGGCUGCCUUCUUCUUACUCUGCUUCCUGGGUCCCCUCCCAAAUCAACUACUUGCACCCAAUCCUUGAGAUUUGGAACCCAAAUUAAGAGCCUUGGCCACUUCAAGCAUCAGAUCAUUUGUGGCUUGGUUCAAUGGAAAGAGUGUGGGCUCUUUAUCCAGGCAGGGGUAGGGUCAGAUCCCAGAGCUGUGGCCGUAAGCUGUGUGACUGACCAAAUACCUUACCUCUCUGAGCCUCUACUUCAACAUCUAUAACACAAGGAACACCUGUUCUUAGGGCCAGUGAGACGGGUGGAGUGCCUGGCAAAUGGUCGGCGCUUAACCAAUGCGGGUGGUUCCCAAGGCAGAUGGUCUCAAAUCAGCAUCUCCCUUGAGCCCCAGACCUGCUGGGUGCCACAUUGGCAUGUUGCCCCUUCUCCAAGGUCAGCUCGUCCAGCGUCAAACUUACCCGUUCUCUGCAUUCUCAUUCCCGAGUCUCCAGCUGCAGGCCAAGGUCCUCUGGCUUGUUGUCAGGUUCUCCUGCCCUCAUGCGCACAGCCACCAUUUCCGGAGGGCUGGGGGCCUCCUCUGGGUUCGCGCUACCACAGCCCCGCAGCUGGCCCUGCUCCCUGUGGCCGGACCCGAUUCCUGGCCUGGCACUGCCUCUCACUGAGGGUUUGUCCCUGGGCAAGUCACCUCCCUGCUCUGAGCUUUAUCUCCUUCUUUGGAAAGCAGGUGCAUGGUUGUUUUAAGGGCUAAAGUACCCAGCACAAUGCGUGGUAAAUAAUCAAGGCUUGGCCCACUUAGGGCCUUCCUCUCCAGCCAGUGCCAUUGACCUUCACAGAAACUCACAUGAGAACUAUUUAAAUGAGCAACAACUGCCCAUUUAUGCCAAAAGCAGGCUCCUCCAAUUUGACCAAGCACACAGAUGACCUGGGAUCUUGUUCAAAUGCAGAUUCUGACCCAGUAGGUCUGGCGUGGGGCCUGAGGUUCUGCCUUCCUGUUAAGUUCUCGGGGGAUGCUUGUUCCCACCUGCAAAGUGAGGCUCUAGAGCUCCCCACUCUGCCUCCAAGAUGCUCUCGCCCAGAGCUCUUGCUGGCUCCCUAUUGCCUGGUGAGGACAACAACAGCCAACACUUACUGAAUCCGCACAGCAUUCCAGGCACUGUUCUCCAAGCUUUCUGUAUACUUAUCCACUUAAUUCUCUGAGAUGAGCACCACAAACAGCCGUGUACCCAUUUCACAGGAGGGAAAAUAGAGGCACAGAAAGGUUAAGUAAAGCACCCGAGUCACAAAGACAGUGAGUGGUAGAGCUGGACUUCUGACCCUAACAGGCUCUAUGUGCUUGACCUUGGCGGCUCUGCUGGCUCCUCUUGCAGGAGAAGUCUCAACCCCUCGGCCUGCGAUCUAAGGGACUUGAGGAAGGACUGUCCCUGUGGUCAGAGAAGAACAGUUCCAGGGGCAGGUCAAGUUUGAGAAUGUCGGGUGGAGCACCAGUUAAGAAAGGACUCCUCCAAAACCCUUUUUGUCUAUGUCCCUGGGAACUGCAAGUUCAAGGAAUUAGACGCCAGAAGGAAUGGCAGCCUAGGGUUGGGAGGGCAGCUAGCUGCCUGGGGCAGGGGGUCGGGGUGAGCGGCAAGGUGGGAAGAGCAGAGGGGAGGCGUGGGGCAGCUGCCCAGGAAGCUCUGUCACCAGGGCCGAGGCGGCUGGCAGCCCGGGGCUCUGCUGUGUGAGCUGACAUUUAGGCCUGCCACCGAUGAUUGGGCCCGUUUUGGAAAAAUGCAUGUACUUUGCACAUCUAUUUCUUUCCACCCAUCACUCAGGGCUGUCGUUCCCCGAGGAGGGCAAGGGCGUAAUCACCGACAGAACAGCUUAAGUGCCUUUUGGAAGCUCUCCCUUCUGCUCUGCUUUGAGACUCUGCCUCCCCCGUGGGCGGCAAGGCCAGUCUCUCCAGCUGCAUGUGGGUCUCUGUCCUUCUCUUUGUCCUCUCUGUGUCGCGCCCUCUUUGUCUCUGCGUCUACGCUGGCUUCUCUCUUUCUCUAUCUGUCUGGACUGGAAAGUUCUCUUCUAGAGUCCCUCUCCCCAGCCUCCCUCUCUGCCCCCUCCAUCCUUUAUCUUCAAAUCCCUCAUAGGAGCCUUCUGUCUCCCAGGGUGUCAGAUCCCAGGGCGAGCCUGACCCUUAGUGCCCCUUCCCCUCCCUCCUUCCUCUCUCCGCUCCAGGCCAGGUCCUCCUCCAUCCUCCACCCCCUGCUCUUUUUCAGGCUCCUCUCCCUCCUCUCAUCUUCUCUGCGCUCAGGACCACCACCCCAAUCUCCCUUUCAUUCCUCUCCCCUGAAAUGGACAGGUGCGCAUCCACAUUUGGGGCCCACCUGGGGUUGUCAGCUCCCCAGCUGGGGCAGAGCCCAGGGGCCUUGUUUUGGGUUUUGUUUUCUCAGCUCUGGGCGCACUCGUGCAUUUCACAAAAGCUGCAGUCAUUCUGGGUCAGGAGGGCUGGUCCUUGACUCCACAGGUGCCGGAGCCUCGUGGAGGAGCCACGAUCCACUGUCCACCUCUCCCCACAGAUGAGGUGCACAGGCCAAGGGACCCCCGGCAGAGCUGCCUCCAACCCUCCAACCCAGAAGGGGCAGCCCUGGGAUAAAUGUCACGUGCCCCCCCACUCCUGUGACUCGACUGAUGGGGGGCCUCCAGCUGUUCAGAGCUCAAAAGCCCAGGCCAGAGAAGGGUGGCCCAUUCCAAGCUGCCACACACGAGGCUGCUAAGAGCUCUAGUUGAAUAAACCAUGCUUUGCAGCCUGCCCAGCACACAGAAUCCUCAAAUUCGGCAUCAAAGCAGUCGCCCUAUGCCCUGUGGCAUCCAGCUGGCUUUCUCCGGUGUGUCCCCAGCCACUGUCUGUGGUUCAUCCACUUGCUGCUGAGAUAUUAAUGCACCUCAGGGGUCAGUGGAGCCCAGUGACUGCUGUUAAUAGGGCAAAGCAAUUUCAAUUUCAUGCCUACGUGGGCUUCCGUCUAUUAAGGCAAAGAAGGGGAACAAAUCUCCCUUUAUUCCUUUCAGAAAACACAGUCACAGUGCGGCAGAGGCUUAUGUAGGGUUGCUGGCAGGCGGCAGGGGGGCAGGAGGCUCGCGUGAGACCGAGCAGGGCUCCGGGGAAGCAGGAAGUGGGUCGAGGAGGCAGCCGGUACUAUGUGGUUGUUGCCUGCCGAUCUGGCCUGGAUGUUCCUAUGGCUAUUCUCAUAAAAAACGGCAAUCUAUUUCUUCACCUCUUGAAUCUGGGCUGAACUUACGACUUAUCCUGUCCAAAAGAAAAGAAAAAGUAGCAGAAGUGACAGAUUGCAGGUUCCCUGAGGCCAUUUGAGGCUUUGUGUGUCCCAGCUCUCCCUUGCGCCUCUGUCUUCACCACGCCCGUGUGCUGGACGAUGAGAGGCCAGAAGGGACAGAAGCCCCGAUGGACCAACCCGCCCCCGCCUGACUCAGCAGCUGACUCAGGUGCAACAGGGAGCCCAGCCGACCUCCCAGAUCAGCCGCUGGCUGUAGCCUAACCAAAAACAAUAAACAG